GACGAACGCUGGCGGCGUGCUUAACACAUGCAAGUCGAACGGAAAGGCCCUGCUUUUUUUGGGUGCUCGAGUGGCGAACGGGUGAGUAACACGUGAGUAACCUUCCCUUGACUUUGGUAUAACUUCUGGAAACUGGGGCUAAUACCGGAUAGGAUCUCCUGCUGCAUGGUGUGGUUUGGAAAGUUUCGGCGGUUGGGGAUGGUCUCGCGGCUUAUCAGCUUUUUUGUGGGGUAGUGGCUUACCAAGGCUUUGACGGGUAGCAGGCAUGUGAGGGUUACCGGCGAAAAUGGGACUGAGAUACGGAACAGAAUCGAACGGGAGGAAGGAGUGGGGAAUAUUGCACAAUGGGAGGAAGCAUGAUGAAGAAAAGCAGGGAGAGGGAUGAAGGCCUUCGGGUUGUAAAACGAUGUAGAAUGUGACGAAGAGUGAGUGACGGUAAUGGGUAAAGAAGCACCGGCUAACUACGUG
rnacentral:rRNA from 1 species